GUGAAUCAUCGAAUUUUUGAACGCAAAUUGCACUCUCUUCGGAGAGUAUGCCUGUUUGAGGGUCAGCUUAUAAAAAAUCCAGAUCGGUGCUGUUUUUCGGUGGUGACGGUCGGAAAUUGGGUCAUCUUAAAUCCUGUUGGUUUUUAUGCGACUUAAAAUUUUCUUUUUGGUUGUAUUUACGUUUCUAUGAUUUCUUUCUUUAUGUCGAAUG
rnacentral:misc_RNA from 1 species